AUUGAACGCUGGCGGCAGGCCUAACACAUGCAAGUCGAACGAGGGGCGGACGGGUGAGUACUGUCUGGGAAACUGCCAGAUGGAGGGGGAUAACUAAUGGAACAGGUAGCUAAUACAGCAUACCAUCAGAUGUGCCCAGAUGGGAUUAGCUUGUGGGUGGGGUAACGGCUCACCAAGGCGAAGAUCCCUAGCUGGUCUGAGAGGAUGACCAGCCAAUCUGGAACUGAGACACGGUCCAGACUCCUACGGUAGGCAGAAGUGGGGAAUAUUGCACAAGGGGCGCAAGCCUGAUGCAGCCAUGCCGCGGGUAUGAAGAAGGCCUUCGGGUUGUAAAGUACUUUCAGCGGGGAGGCGUUACCCGCAGAAGAAGCACCGGCUAACUCCGUGCCAGCAGCCGCGGUAAUAC
rnacentral:rRNA from 1 species